GCCCACUCACUGAACUAACUCCCUUCCCUCUACUCCCAGAGCCCGCCCGGCAGGACCACCGAGCAAGGCCUUGGAAAACCAGAGAGAUUAGAGCGAAUGGGGAAAUGGAGAGAGAACCUGAAAGAGCCCCAAACUCGAGGACCUAUUGCUCCCCAAGAAUAACAUCUUCCAGAAGAACUAGACAGAAAACUAGGCGUCUGGGAACUCUGAAAUCCUUGGAGGAGUAGCAUCAUCAUGACCCUCUGUGUUCCUUUUGGCAAAGGACUUGCUCCCAUUGUUUGCUUGUUCCAUUGUCUGUCUGUUAAAUAAAUAAAACCCUUUUCAUAUAUCUUUAAA
rnacentral:lncRNA from 1 species